CGGCGGUGACGACCUACCCACACGAGAACAUGCCUGACAUUAACUCCAGGGACCGCAGCGGCCCACGGGCCACCCGCAUAGACGGGAGCGGAGAGGAGAUAAGAUGGCGGCCCAGCUGCGCAGACACCAGGGGCAGCGAGGGGCGAGCUCUCCCCGCUCGCAAAGGAUCUCCUUCAUCCCUCCCCAGAAGAGGAGAAGAGGAAACACAAGAAGAAACGCCUGGUGCAGAGCCCCAAUUCCUACUUCAUGGAUGUGAAAUGCCCAGGAUGCUAUAAAAUCACCACGGUUUUUAGCCAUGCACAAACGGUAGUUUUGUGUGUGGGCUGCUCCACUGUCCUCUGCCAGCCUACAGGAGGAAAAGCAAGGCUUACAGAAGGAUGUUCCUUUAGGAGGAAGCAGCACUAAAGGCACUCUGAAUCAAGAUGAGUGGGAAACCAUCUCAAUAAACACAUUUUGGAUAAA